AGAGUUUGAUCCUGGCUCAGGAUGAGCGCUAGCUACAGGCUUAACACAUGCAAGUCGAGGGGCAGCACGUUGGUUGCUUGCAACCAACGAUGGCGACCGGCGCACGGGUGAGUAACGCGUAUCCAACCUACCCUUGUCCAUCGGAUAACCCGUCGAAAGGCGGCCUAACACGAUAUGCGGUUCACAGCAGGCAUCUAACGUGAACGAAAUGUAAAGGAGAAGGAUGGGGAUGCGUCUGAUUAGCUUGUUGGCGGGUAACGGCCACAAGGCUACGAUCGAGUAGGGGUUCUGGAGAGGAAGGUCCCCCANAUUGGAACUGAGACACGGUCCAAACGUCCUACGGGAGCA
rnacentral:rRNA from 1 species